UCGGAGCUACACAUGCAGCCGAGCGGUAGAGAUUCUUCGGAAUCUUGAGAGCGGCGCACGGGCGCGGAACACGUGUGCAACCUGCCUUUAUCUGGGGGAUAGCCUUUCGAAAGGGAGAUUAAUACCCCAUAAUAUAAUGAGCGGCAUCGCUUAUUAUUGAAAACUCCGGUGGAUAGAGAUGGGCACGCGCAAGAUUAGAUAGUUGGUGAGGUAACGGCUCACCAAGUCAAUGAUCUUUAGGGGGCCUGAGAGGGUGAUCCCCCACACUGGUACUGAGACACGGACCAGACUCCUACGGGAGGCAGCAGUGAGGAAUAUUGGACAAUGGGUGAGAGCCUGAUCCAGCCAUCCCGCGUGAAGGACGACGGCCCUAUGGGUUGUAAACUUCUUUUGUACAGGGAUAAACCUUUCCACGUGUGGAAGGCUGAAGGUACUGUACGAAUAAGCACCGGCUAACUCCGUGCCAGCAGCCGCGGUAAUACGGAGGGUGCAAGCGUUAUCCGGAUUUAUUGGGUUUAAAGGGUCCGUAGGCGGAUCUGUAAGUCAGUGGUGAAAUCUCAUAGCUUAACUAUGAAACUGCCAUUGAUACUGCAGGUCUUGAGUAAGGUAGAAGUAGCUGGAAUAAGUAGUGUAGCGGUGAAAUGCAUAGAUAUUACUUAGAACACCAAUUGCGAAAGCAGGUUACUAUGUCUUAACUGACGCUGAUGGACGAAAGCGUGGGGAGCGAACAGGAUUAGAUACCCUGGUAGUCCACGCUGUAACGAUGCUAACUCGUUUUUGGGUUUUCGGAUUCAGAGACUAAGCGAUGUGAUAGUAGCCACCUGGGGAGUACGAACGCAGUUGAA
rnacentral:rRNA from 1 species